GGAAAGAGGGUCUGGUUUACUCUAAGGAAGAUGUAGAAUGAAAUGUGCUGCAAUUAGAAGGCUCCUCUGAGUAUAUCAGCUGACAGAUAACUAAGGAAAUGAGUAGGACUGCCAACAGGAUGUCAUAGGUGAAAUCACUAAGAUGAUCUGGUUAUGAUUUUUCACCAAAAUCAGCAUGACUUUGGACCAAUCUCUGCCGAUCACCCUAUCUAUGCCAUGAAAUGGUUGAUGUGGAAAAAAAGUAAAAGGAACACUAUGUAUGCUGUGCUUUGAACUUCUGAAUAAAAGAAUGGGCUUAAAUUGCCAGUAGGAACAUAUGACUUUGGCACUUCCAAAAUCUGGAUGCUUGGGACUUUCUUUUCCCGCCCAAGAAAAUGUAUAACUUGCUUAUCUUCAGACAGAAAUUAGCCUAUCUCCUUGUAGUACAAUACAUCAGAGUCUUCAGAGAGGUCGGAAGGCUCCAAACGAGAAAGGCUACUGCGACGACCCAAGGAAUCUAGACUGGAUUGGUCAUCAUCAGCCAAGACGUGAUUAUGCAUCAGGGAGGAGACAAGCCAAUCUGGUAUGGUAAGAUGGAUCAAGAAAGUAAGUUGAAGAGUUUGCUUCGACCACAAUCCAAGAUGUCUUAGAUGAGCUCCAAAGAAAAUGCAGCCCAAUUCUAACCAUAUGAAAGCACUAAGAGACCCAUUUGAUUGCUUUUAAGAAUUUUUGUUGGAUGAAGCUUGAGGUAUCUUUGUGGAUGCAACACUGAAUAUGAUAAAACAUCAAACUCAGAACUUUAGUUUUAAAUAAUUUAACUGCUGCUAGGACAUAGUUGUAACCAUAUAGGCUUCAUUAUUGCAUAUACAUUUCUUACUAUAAAAACAUAAACGACCAAUGAUUCUCUGCUGAUGACACUAUUCUUAGGAGCAUUGCAUUCAGAAUGAAAAUUCUCCUAUCAAAAUCAUAUCCAUCUCUUCAUAAUUAUAUGUGACUUGAUGUUGGAUGAAGGCUAGUUCAAAAGUUUUGUAAAGUUGCAAAGAAUGUACAUGGAUAGAAUUAAAAACAAGCAAGUUCUUUCAUGGGA